GACGAACGCUGGCGGCGUGCCUAAUACAUGCAAGUUGAGCGCUGAAGGUUGGUACUUGUACCAACUGGAUGAGCAGCGAACGGGUGAGUAACGCGUGGGGAAUCUGCCUUUGAGCGGGGGACAACAUUUGGAAACGAAUGCUAAUACCGCAUAAAAACUUUAAACACAAGUUUUAAGUUUGAAAGAUGCAAUUGCAUCACUCAAAGAUGAUCCCGCGUUGUAUUAGCUAGUUGGUGAGGUAAAGGCUCACCAAGGCGAUGAUACAUAGCCGACCUGAGAGGGUGAUCGGCCACAUUGGGACUGAGACACGGCCCAAACUCCUACGGGAGGCAGCAGUAGGGAAUCUUCGGCAAUGGACGAAAGUCUGACCGAGCAACGCCGCGGGAGUGAAGAAGGUUGUCGGAUCGUAAAACUCUGUUGGUAGAGAAGAACGUUGGUGAGAGUGGAAAGCUCAUCAAGUGACGGUAACUACCCAGAAAGGGACGGCUAACUACGUG
rnacentral:rRNA from 1 species